rnacentral:rRNA from 1 species
AGGGUUUGAUCCUGGCUCAGAAUGAACGUUGGCGGCGUGGAUUAGGUAUGCAAGUCGAGCGAGAAGCCUCCUUUGGGAGGUGGACAGCGGCGAAAGGGAGAGUAAUGCGUAGAUACCUAUCUUCGGAUUUGGGAUAGUGGGGAGAAAUUGUCGGUAAUACCGAAUAAUGUCUCCGGACCAAAGGUUUUGGCCGUCUGAAGAGGGGUCUGCGUCCUAUUAGUUUGUUGGUGGGGUAAUGGCCCACCAAGGCGAAGAUGGGUACCGGGUGUGAGAGUAUGGCCCGGCUCACUGGGAUUGAGAUAUUGUUUAGACACCUAUGGGUGGCUGCAGUUGAGAAUCUUCCGUAAUGGGCGAAAGCCUGAUGGAGUGACGCCGCGUGCGGGAUGAAGGCCUUUGGGUUGUAAACCGCUGUCAGAGGGAAGGAAAUUAUUUUGGUAUUGACCGAUCCUCAGAGGAAGCGCAGGCUAAGUUCGUGCCAGUAGUUGUGGUAAUACGAACUGCGCGAACGUUAUUUGGAAUUAUUGGGCUUAAAGAGUUCGUAGGCUGCUUAGUUAGUCGGGUGUGAAAUUCCUUGGUUUAACCAAGGAACUGCGCCCGAUACUGCUAGGCUUGAGGAAGACAGGGGUAAGCGGAACUGAUGGUGAAGCGGUGAAAUGCGUUGAUAUCAUCAGGAACACCGGUGGUGAAGGUGGCUUACUGGGUCUUUUCUGAUGCUGAGGAACGAAAGCUAGGGGAGUGAACGGGAUUAGAUAUCCCGGUAGUCCUAGCCGUAAACGAUGAGCAUUAGGUCGAGGAAAUUUUUAUAUUUUCUCGGCCGUAGCGAAAGUGUUAAGUGCUCCGCCUGGGGAGUAUGGUCGUAAGGCUGAAACUCAAAGGAAUAGACGGGGGCUCACACAAGCGGUGGAGGAUGUGGCUUAAUUCGAGUUUAUGUGAAGAAUUUUAUCCUGGUCUUGACAUGCUUAGGAAUCUUCCUGAAAGGGAAGAGUGCUCUUUGGAGAGCCUUUGCAUAGGUGCUGUAUGGCUGUCGUCAGCUCGUGUUGUGAGAUGUUGGGUUAAGUCCCUUAACGAGCGAAACCCUUGUCUCUAGUUGCCAGCGGGUUAUGUCGGGGACUCUAGAGAGACUGCCGGUGUUAAACCGGAGGAAGGUGGGGAUGACGUUAAGUCCUUAUGGCCUUUAUGAUCAGGGCUGCACACGUCCUAUAAUGCGGCGUAUAAAGGGAUGCGAACUCGUGAGAGUAAGCAAAUCCCAUAAAACGUCGCUCAGUUUGGAUUGCAGGCUGUAAUUUGCCUGCAUGAAGCUGGAAUCGCUAGUAAUCGCGGGUUAGUAUACCGCGGUGAAUGUGUUUUUGAGCCUUGUAUAUAUUGCCCGUCAAGCCACGAAAGU